AGUGAACGCUGGCGGCAGGCCUAACACAUGCAAGUCGAGCGGCAGCGGGUCCUUCGGAUGCCGGCGAGCGGCGGACGGGUGAGGAAUACAUCGGAAUCUGCCCUGUCGAGGGGGACAACAGUUGGAAACGACUGCUAAUACCGCAUAAGCCCACAGCUCGGCAUCGAGCAGAGGGAAAAGGAGUGAUCCGCUUUGAGAUGGCCUCGCGUCCGAUUAGCUAGUUGGUGAGGUAACGGCUCACCAAGGCAACGAUCGGUAGCCGGACUGAGAGGUUGAACGGCCACAUUGGGACUGAGACACGGCCCAG
rnacentral:rRNA from 1 species